rnacentral:tRNA from 1 species
GCUCUGGUAGCUCAGCGGUAGAGCAGUUGACUGUUAAUCAAUUGGUCGGUGGUUCGAUCCCACUCCGGAGCGCCA